UUUGACUAUAACUCGCAUGCCUUUGGAUGUGGAGGAAGGUCGCACGCCCACGGCUGUAAGAAGCUUCCCUGGGUGGCUGUGGAGUGGAGGAGUACUUGGCCUUCCUCGGUAACCUGGUCUCGGCACAGAUGGUAUUCCUUCCCAAGAGUGACCGUCUCCGAGGGAGAAGUCAAUAUCUCAGUUUCUGACGAUGAGGAUGAGAUGAGGCCCAGAAAGAUACAUUGAGAAACAUCCAUAUGUUGCAGACAGCACAUGGAACAGGAUGCCAGUACUUACCACAGUCAGAUAAGGAGACUAAACCUGAUACACGG